UACGGAGGGUGCAAGCGUUAUCCGGAUUCACUGGGUUUAAAGGGUGCGUAGGCGGGCAGGUAAGUCAGUGGUGAAAUCUCCGGGCUUAACCCGGAAACUGCCGUUGAUACUAUCUGUCUUGAAUAUCGUGGAGGUAAGCGGAAUAUGUCAUGUAGCGGUGAAAUGCUUAGAUAUGACAUAGAACACCCAUUGCGAAGGCAGCUUACUAUGGUUUUAUUGACACUGAGGCACGAAAGCGUGGGGAUCAAACAGG
rnacentral:rRNA from 1 species